UGUUUUGAUUUGUGUUUCUAAGUGUUUUGAUUCAAGUUUUCAUCCAACUUCGUCCAAGUUCUUGUUAGGUUCUCAAAACUGCCCAGAAAGUGGUUUUUAGGCAGUUUUGAGUCAUUAGGUUGCUGUUUUGAGUUUUAUGUUUGUUUAAGUAUUUUAAAGUAUAGUUUUGCAUUCUUUGAGUCUAGUUUAGUGUUUUAAAUUUUGUUUUUAUAUUUUUAAGUCAGUUUUCAAGUGUUUAGCAAUCCCUCCUAAUCCCCGGCCUAGAACGAUCCCUACUUACAUACUUUACUACAUUUGAUAAAAAGAGGGUUUAAUUUUGUGUGUUAACUUAUUUUACGCAUCA
rnacentral:lncRNA from 1 species